rnacentral:rRNA from 1 species
UACGUAGGGGGCAAGCGUUGUCCGGAAUCAUUGGGCGUAAAGAGCGUGUAGGCGGCCUUACAGGUCAGCUGUGAAAACUCGAGGCUCAACCUCGAGACGUCGGUUGAAACCGUAUGGCUAGAGUCCGGAAGAGGAGAGUGGAAUUCCCGGUGUAGCGGUGAAAUUCGUAGAUAUUGGGAAGAACACCGGUGGCGAAGGCGGCGCUCUGGACCGAGACUGACGCUGAGGCGCGAAGGCGUGGGGAGCAAACAGG